GACGGGGGGGGCAAGUGUUCUUCGGAAUGACUGGGCGUAAAGGGCACGUAGGCGGUGAAUCGGGUUGAAAGUGAAAGUCGCCAAAAAAGUGGCGGAAUGCUCUCGAAACCAAUUCACUUGAGUGAGACAGAGGAGAGUGGAAUUUCGUGUGUAGGGGUGAAAUCCGUAAAUAUAACGAAGGAACGCCAAAAGCGAAGGCAGCUCUCUGGGUCCCUACCGACGCUGGGGGUGCGAAAGCUGGGGGAGCGA
rnacentral:rRNA from 1 species